CUGCCAGUGAUAAACUGGAGGAAGUGGGGAUGACGUCAAGUCAUCAUGGCCCUUACGACCAGGGCUACACACGUGCUACAAUGGCGCAUACAAAGAGAAGCGACCUCGCGAGAGCAAGCGGACCUCAUAAAGUGCGUCGUAGUCCGGAUUGGAGUCUGCAACUCGACUCCAUGAAGUCGGAAUCGCUAGUAAUCGUGGAUCAGAAUGCCACGGUGAAUACGUUCCCGGGCCUU
rnacentral:rRNA from 1 species